GAUGAACGCUGGCGGCGUGCCUAAUACAUGCAAGUCGAGCGAACGGACGAGAAGCUUGCUUCUCUGAUGUUAGCGGCGGACGGGUGAGUAACACGUGGAUAACCUACCUAUAAGACUGGGAUAACUUCGGGAAACCGGAGCUAAUACCGGAUAAUAUUUUGAACCGCAUGGUUCAAAAGCGAAAGACGGUCUUGCUGUCACUUAUAGAUGGAUCCGCGCUGCAUUAGCUAGUUGGUAAGGUAACGGCUUACCAAGGCAACGAUGCAUAGCCGACCUGAGAGGGUGAUCGCCCACACUGGAACUGGGACACGGUCCAGACUCCUACGGGAGGCAGCAGUAGGGAAUCUUCCGCAAUGGGCGAAAGCCUGACGGAGCAACGCCGCGUGAGUGAUAACGGUCUUCGGAUCGUAAAACUCUGUUAUUAGGGAAGAACAUAUGUGUAAGUAACUGUGCACAUCUUGACGGUACCUAAUCAGAAAGCCACGGCUAACUACGUG
rnacentral:rRNA from 1 species